GACUGAGUGGUUUAGUGGUAAAAUUAGCCGUUGCCAAGCGUACUAUCGGCUAGCCCCGGGUUCGAUUCCCGGCUCAGUCA
rnacentral:tRNA from 1 species